GGGUUGUGAGGUUAAGCGACUAAGCGUACACGGUGGAUGCCCUGGCAGUCAGAGGCGAUGAAGGACGUGCUAAUCUGCGAUAAGCGCCGGUAAGGUGAUAUGAACCGUUAUAACCGGCGAUUUCCGAAUGGGGAAACCCAGUGUGACUCGUCACACUAUCAUUAACUGAAUCCAUAGGUUAAUGAGGCGAACCGGGGGAACUGAAACAUCUAAGUACCCCGAGGAAAAGAAAUCAACCGAGAUUCCCCCAGUAGCGGCGAGCGAACGGGGAGGAGCCCAGAGCCUGAAUCAGCAUGUGUGUUAGUGGAAGCGUCUGGAAAGGCGCGCGAUACAGGGUGACAGCCCCGUACACAAAAGCGCAUAUGCUGUGAGCUCGAUGAGUAGGGCGGGACACGUGGUAUCCUGUCUGAAUAUGGGGGGACCAUCCUCCAAGGCUAAAUACUCCUGACUGACCGAUAGUGAACCAGUACCGUGAGGGAAAGGCGAAAAGAACCCCGGCGAGGGGAGUGAAAAAGAACCUGAAACCGUGUACGUACAAGCAGUGGGAGCCCCACCACUAAGCCAGUGGUGAACUCCACAUACGCAUCCUUUGCUGAGGAUACGGUUAACGGAGCGAAAGCGACGUUCAACCUCAAAAGAAGCAGAGGGGGCUUAGUGGUGGGGUGACUGCGUACCUUUUGUAUAAUGGGUCAGCGACUUAUAUUCUGUAGCAAGGUUAACCGUAUAGGGGAGCCGGAGGGAAACCGAGUCUUAAUUGGGCGUUAAGUUGCAGGGUAUAGACCCGAAACCCGGUGAUCUAGCCAUGGGCAGGUUGAAGGUUGGGUAACACUAACUGGAGGACCGAACCGACUAAUGUUGAAAAAUUAGCGGAUGACCUGUGGCUGGGGGUGAAAGGCCAAUCAAACCGGGAGAUAGCUGGUUCUCCCCGAAAGCUAUUUAGGUAGCGCCUCGUGAAUUCAUCUCCGGGGGUAGAGCACUGUUUCGGCUAGGGGGCCAUCCCGGCUUACCAACCCGAUGCAAACUGCGAAUACCGGAGAAUGUUAUCACGGGAGACACACGGCGGGUGCUAACGUCCGUCGUGAAGAGGGAAACAACCCAGACCGCCAGCUAAGGUCCCAAAGUCAUGGUUAAGUGGGAAACGAUGUGGGAAGGCCCAGACAGCCAGGAUGUUGGCUUAGAAGCAGCCAUCAUUUAAAGAAAGCGUAAUAGCUCACUGGUCGAGUCGGCCUGCGCGGAAGAUGUAACGGGGCUAAACCAUGCACCGAAGCUGCGGCAGCGACACUGUGUGUUGUUGGGUAGGGGAGCGUUCUGUAAGCCUGUGAAGGUGGCCUGUGAGGGUUGCUGGAGGUAUCAGAAGUGCGAAUGCUGACAUAAGUAACGAUAAAGCGGGUGAAAAGCCCGCUCGCCGGAAGACCAAGGGUUCCUGUCCAACGUUAAUCGGGGCAGGGUGAGUCGACCCCUAAGGCGAGGCCGAAAGGCGUAGUCGAUGGGAAACGGGUUAAUAUUCCCGUACUUGGUGUUACUGCGAAGGGGGGACGGAGAAGGCUAUGUUGGCCGGGCGACGGUUGUCCCGGUUUAAGCGUGUAGGUGUGUGUUCCAGGUAAAUCCGGUUCACUUUAACACUGAGGCGUGACGACGAGGCACUACGGUGCUGAAGCAACAAAUGCCCUGCUUCCAGGAAAAGCCUCUAAGCAUCAGGUAACAUCAAAUCGUACCCCAAACCGACACAGGUGGUCAGGUAGAGAAUACCAAGGCGCUUGA
rnacentral:rRNA from 1 species